rnacentral:rRNA from 1 species
AUUGAACGCUGGCGGCAUGCCUUACACAUGCAAGUCGAACGGCAGCAUGGGUGCUUGCACCUGAUGGCGAGUGGCGAACGGGUGAGUAAUGCAUCGGAACGUACCCGGAAGUGGGGGAUAACGUAGCGAAAGUUACGCUAAUACCGCAUAUUCUGUGAGCAGGAAAGCGGGGGAUCGCAAGACCUCGCGCGAAUGGAGCGGCCGAUAUCAGAUUAGGUAGUUGGUGGGGUAAAGGCUCACCAAGCCAACGAUCUGUAGCUGGUCUGAGAGGACGACCAGCCACACUGGAACUGAGACACGGUCCAGACUCCUACGGGAGGCAGCAGUGGGGAAUUUUGGACAAUGGGCGCAAGCCUGAUCCAGCCAUUCCGCGUGCAGGAUGAAGGCCUUCGGGUUGUAAACUGCUUUUGUACGGUAACGAAACGGUCUGCCCUAAUACGGUGGCUAAUGACGGUACCGUAAGAAUAAGCACCGGCUAACUACGUGCACG